rnacentral:misc_RNA from 1 species
GAUGAAGAACGCAGCGAAAUGCGAUACGUAAUGUGAAUUGCAAAUUCAGUGAAUCAUCGAGUCUUUGAACGCACAUUGCGCCCCCUGGUAUUCCGGGGGGCAUGCCUGUCCGAGCGUCAUUGCUACCCUCAAGCACGGCUUGUGUGUUGGGCCUCGUCCUCCGAUCCCGGGGGACGGGCCCGAAAGGCAGCGGCGGCACCGCGUCCGGUCCUCGAGCGUAUGGGGCUUUGUCACCCGCUCUGUAGGCCCGGCCGGCGCUUGCCGAUCAACCCAAAUUUUUAUCCAGGUUGACCUCGGAUCAGGUAGGGAUACCCGCUGAACUUAAGCAUAUCAAUAAGCGGAGGA